rnacentral:rRNA from 1 species
CCUACGGGUGGCUGCAGUGGGGAAUAUUGCACAAUGGGCGCAAGCCUGAUGCAGCCAUGCCGCGUGUGUGAAGAAGGCCUUCGGGUUGUAAAGCACUUUCAGCGAGGAGGAAGGGUUCGGUGUUAAUAGCACUGUUCAUUGACGUUACUCGCAGAAGAAGCACCGGCUAACUCCGUGCCAGCAGCCGCGGUAAUACGGAGGGUGCAAGCGUUAAUCGGAAUUACUGGGCGUAAAGCGCACGCAGGCGGGUUGAUAAGUCAGAUGAGAAAUCGCCGAGCUUAACUGAGGAACUGCAUUUGAAACUGGCAAGCUAGAGUCUUGUAGAGUGGGGUAGAAUUCCAGGUGUAGCGGUGAAAUGCGUAGAGAUCGGGAGGAAUACCGGUGGCGAAGGCGGCCCCCUGGACAAAGACUGACGCUCAGGUGCGAAAGCGUGGGGAGCAAACAGGAUUAGAUACCCUAGUAGUC